GGGAAGGAUUCCAGGCUGCUCCACAGAGUUUGCACAACUGGUACCGCAGGCACCCUCCUCCGUCGUCGUCUGGGUCCUCAACAGUCUUCUAGAAGGGGAUAAAGGGCACAUCCGGGUGCGGGGUCAAGGGGGAGAAGGGGCGCCGGAGACUCAGGAAUGUUUGGAGCGCGGACUUGUCCUGCUCCAUCACCUCUCCAUCUGACCAUGCCCUGCGGGUGCCAGAAAACCAACUCUGAGAAACAUGGGGUGCAGUACCUGCUUUGUAAGGUGAGGGGACCAAGGGUUCCUGCUUUGGAGACCCUAGGCCUGUUGUGGCUCCUAAGAAAGUGAUAUAAAUCGUUAACUGUCGUGGAAGAAUGCAUCCAUCAUUACAUUUUCACAAUACACGGUGAUCCCUAACUGUAUACUACCGCCUUUUCUAAUUUUGGGGUUGUUAAGAGUGUCAGUCAAGCAUUUAACAAAUAUGUAUUAUUUAAUUUCAUGCAUUCGUUUAACAGGUCUACCUGUUGUUUGCCAGGUGUUAUGAUACCCAGGAAUAGAGUUGAAUUAGAUGUAUUUAGGGACUUUGCUUUUUAAUGUGUUAUCUAAGGUGAUUAUUUAACCCAUGACUUUCCUAAAGGUUUAAUUUGCUCUUGGUAGGAUGUCAUUGUCCGAUGGAGCAUAAGUUUGAUUUUAACGCUUCGUCGUAGAGUCCAAAAGCCCAAAUUAUGCUUUGAGUUUUAGUUUAAAUCUUCUUUACAAAAAUUUCCUGACAGUUCCCCUCGAUUUAGAUGCUGUGUGAUGAAUGUGAAAGUUCUACAAAUGAGUUUUUUUUUUUUUUUUUUUUACUCUUGACGAUCUCCUGUGGAAAGGCAUAAACAUCUGAAUAUGUUGGGAAUGUUUUUCUACGAUAAUAUGCUCUUUGAGAGUAUAGGCAGGUUUGAUGAACUCCAGGUAGUUUCCUCAGCAUUAGAAUGAAAUGCCCAUCCAGAAACCUGCAAUUUUAUUUGAAUUGUUUUUUUGUUUGUUUGUUUGUUUGUUUUUUCCAAACAGCAACAACUUCAGUAAAGCCUAUUUUGGGAGCACCACCAUGUUUCAGGCACUAUCCAGUUGCAUUUUUCAGAGGGCAUCAAGCCAGACUUCAGGAACGUGACACAGAGAUAGGUCUCUGCAUCUGACUUGUGCUUCUCUGGCAGCACCAAGCUUUUUCGAAGCAUUAUUGGAUGGCCGUGUCCACAUAGGGUGGGACGAUGCAGUCUCGUCCAGCCCUGGCUGCCCAUAUCUCUCAGCUGAAGGCCUUUUAAUGGAGCAGGUGAAACAAGAGAGAAAAAGGAAAACACUGUUUUACUUUUCAAGAAUGAUGUUCUGAGAACACAAAUAUGGCAAUGUUGAGAAACCAAGUAGCAAAGUUAGCCUCAAGCUCUACUAUUUAUCAUUUCUGACCUGUAGAAUCAACCCUUCUUCAGAAAACUGUCUGACAUCAAUAAAACUUAAAAAAAAAAGAAAAAAAAAUUUCA
rnacentral:lncRNA from 1 species